rnacentral:pre_miRNA from 1 species
GUAGUAUUCUCUCCGUCCCAAAAUUGUUGUCUUACAUUUGUUUAGAUAUGGAUGUAUCUAACACUAAAAUGUAACUAGAUACAUUCAUAUUUAGACAAAUUUAAGACAAGAAUUUUGGGACGGAGGGAGUACAAA